rnacentral:rRNA from 1 species
CCCUUAGAUGUUCUGGGCCGCACGCGUGCUACACUGAACGGUUCAAUGGGUAAGGUAGUGCGAAAGCAUGACCUAAUCUCGAAAUCCGUUCGUGCUGGGGAUAGAAGCUUGCAAUUAUCCUUCUUGAACGAGGAAUACCUUGUAAGCGUGAGUCAUCAUCUCACGCUGAAUACGUCCCUGCCCUUUGUACACACCGCCCGUCGCUCCUACCGAUUGAGUGUUCCGGUGAGGCUUUGGGAGAAUGGCCUCAACAUGAGUUUAUCGUGUUUUGCCGUUUGGACUUAGUCAAACCUUAUCACUUAGAGGAAGGAGAAGUCGUAACA